GGGGUUGUGACUCAGUGGUAGAUUGCUCGCCUAGCAUGUGCGAGGCCCUGGGUUCAAUCCUCAGCGCCACA
rnacentral:tRNA from 1 species